rnacentral:rRNA from 1 species
UACGGGGGGGAGCAAGCGUUGUUCGGAUUUACUGGGCGUAAAGGGCGCGUAGGCGGUCGUGACAAGUCACUUGUGAAAUCUCCGGGCUUAACUCGGAACGGUCAAGUGAUACUGUCGGACUAGAGUACAGAAGGGGCAACUGGAAUUCUCGGUGUAGCGGUGAAAUGCGCAGAUAUCAGGAGGAACACCGGUGGCGAAGGCGGCUUGCUGGGCCAGUUCUGACGCUGGAGGAGCGAAAGCGUGGGGAGCGAACAGG